UACGGGGGGGGCAAGCGUUGUUCGGAAUUACUGGGCGUAAAGGGCUUGUAGGUGGCCAACUAAGUCAGACGUGAAAUCCCCCGGCUUAACCGGGGAACUGCGUCUGAUACUGGAUGGCUAGAGAUUGGGAGAGGGACGCGGAAUUCCAGGUGUAGCGGUGAAAUGCGUAGAUAUCUGGAGGAACACCGGUGGCGAAGGCGGCAUCCUGGACCAAUUCUGACGCUGAGGAGCGAAAGCUAGGGGAGCAAACGGG
rnacentral:rRNA from 1 species